UACGUAGGGGGCAAGCGUUGUCCGGAAUCAUUGGGCGUAAAGAGCGUGUAGGCGGCCUGGUAAGUCCGCUGUGAAAGUCCAGGGCUCAACCCUGGAAUGCCGGUGGAAACUGUCAGGCUCGAGUCCGGAAGAGGCGAGUGGAAUUCCUGGUGUAGCGGUGAAAUGGCGCAGAUAUCAGGAGGAACACCAAUGGCGAAGGCAGCUCGCUGGGACGGUACUGACGCUGAGACGCGAAAGCGUGGGGAGCAAACAGG
rnacentral:rRNA from 1 species